UUCCUUUCUCCUUUGCUUCUCUUCCCAACUCCUGCUGCUGGCUCCUCCAGAACUGGGAAGCAGGGGUUAGCAUGAAAGGGGGAAAGGCAUUUUUACUCCGUUCAUGAUAUUUAUGGGUUUCUCUUGGCUGGUGAUAAUAUGUGUGCUGGGCCUCCAAACGCUGGCUCAUUUGUGGGGUGCAGAUGGUCUGUGUGUGCUCCACGUGGGCUCUGCACAGGGUGUCAAGAGAUGCAAUACCCAGUUGGCCUUUUCCAAGCCUCCGGUGGUACCGUCUAGUGUGCUGCAUCCCAUCGAGAUGGCUCAAGCUUGGCUCCCUUCCGGAGUUCACCGAACCCACCGGAAAUGCAUGGUUCGUUGCCGUUCCAAAUGUGGGCUGCUUCCGGUGCUCCUUUCCUUCCUCCUGCCAGCCUCUCACUGUCUACAUUCUCUGGCGGGAGGCAGGCACCAGCCUCUAUGUUCAUAUAAACCCCUAAAUUCUAGCUUAUCCAUGUCAUGCUCUCCAGAGAGCAAUUCCACCGUAUCCUUCUUUAGGGACUUAAGAAUUGCUGCAACUGCUUAGCAAGCCCCCAGCUGAGCGUGAGAUACUGUUAUGGGUUGAACUGUGUUUCCCCAAAAUUCAUAUGUUGAAUUCCUAACCCUUAGUACCUCAGCAGGUGACUGUAUUUGGAGAUAGGGUCUGUUAAAAGAAAAAAGUGAUUAAAUUAAAAUGAGCUUAUUAGGGUAGGACCUAAUCCAUGUGAUUGGUACGCCUCUAAGAACAGGAUAUUGGGUCCCUGGGAAGACCAAGUGAAGACACAGGGAGAAGAGGAAUACCUGCCAGGCAAGGAGAGAGGUCUCAGGAGAAACAAACCCUGCUAGUCUCCCGAUCUCGGACUUCUAGCUUCCGGAAUU
rnacentral:lncRNA from 10 species